rnacentral:lncRNA from 1 species
GGUGGGGGCAUGGACUUACAUAAUAUUUAUUAAUGCAGAAAUAUAGACAGCUCAUGGAUGGAUAGUCACUCAAGGUUUCUAGUUGUAGAUUAUGAUGUCCGUAUAAUGCACAUGAGUUGUAGAUUAGAUAUGUUGCAAUGGAAAUGAGAAGCAAACUAGAAAGUAUGAAGCUGAACUGAAAAUGGGCUAUUAUGUGUAGAAA